UUAAGUUCAGCGGGUAUUCCUACCUGAUCCGAGGUCAACCAUUUAAAAAUUGGGUGUUUUACGGCAGGCGCCAGCGUAACCACAGAAGCGAGAUAAAAAUUACUACGCCUAGAGUAUACACUAACUCCGCCACUAACUUUGAGGGGCUGCAGGCCAGAGGCCAGCGGGCUCCCAACGCUAAGCAACAGGGCUUAAGGGUU
rnacentral:misc_RNA from 1 species